rnacentral:tRNA from 1 species
AGAUAGCUCAGUAGGUAGAGCACCUGACCAGAUUCAGGGGCCCAGGUCCGAAUCCUGGUCU